GAUGAAUGCUGGCGGCGUGCCUUAAGCAUGCAAGUCGAACGGUCCGAUGUAGGUCGGACAGUGGCAGACGGGUGAGUAACGCGUAGGAAUCUACCCCUAGGAUUCGCAUAGCCCUCCGAAAGGAGGAGUAAUACGGAAUGGUCUCGUAAGAGUAAAGGACUUAACGGUCCGCCAAGGGAGGAGCCUGCGUCCUAUCAGCUUGUUGGUGGGGUAAAAGCCUACCAAGGCAAUGACGGGUAGCUGGACUGAGAGGUCGAUCAGCCACAACUGCACUGAAACACGGGCAGUACAUCUACGGAUGGCAGCAACUGGGAAUAUUGCGCAAUGGACGAAAGUCUGACGCAGCGACGCCGCGUGAAGGAAGAAGGUCUAUGGAUUGUAAACUUCUUUUGCCAAGCCGUUCACAGCUUGGAGAAUAAGCCUCUACUAACUACGUGCCAGAAGUCUCGGUAAUACGUAGGAGGCAAGCAUUAUCCGGAUUCAUUGGGCGUAAAGUGUGCGUAGGCGGCAUAGUGUGUCGUAUUCUAAAGACCAAGGCUUAACCUCGGAUCUGGAUACGAAACUGCUAUGCUAGAGGAUUGUUAGGGAUGCUAGAACAGUUAGUGUGGCAGUGAAAUGCGUUGAUAUUAACUGGAAUACCGAAGGCGAAGGCAGGCAUCUGGGAUUUUCCUGACGCUGAGGCACGAAAGCUAGGGUAGCGAAACAGAUUAGAGACCUGUGUAGUCCUAGCCGUAAACGAUGUCCGCUAGCUAUCACUUCACAGAGCGCACGAGCUUUAGAGUUCGUACGUUGUGUGAGGUGGUGGUGUAAGCUAACGCGUUAAGCGGACCGCCUGGGGAGUACGGUCGCAAGACUAAAACUCAAAGGAAUUGACGGGGACCCGCACAACCUGUGGAGCGUGUGGUUUAAUUCGAGACAAAACGAAAAACCUCACCAGGGUUUGACAUACUAUCGUACAUUUCCCAAGAAACUGGGAGAAAUCCGCAAGGAUGAUAGUACAGGUGCUGCAUGGCUGUCGUCAGCUCGUGCCGUGAGGUGU
rnacentral:rRNA from 1 species